GCGGAUAAUCUUGUGUCAUUGUCAAUUUUGUCAAUAAAGUUUUUUAUGACAAACUACGUUAAGUAUGGCCGCUAGAUGUCGCUAGUUCAGCGUCACAGCUUUGAAACACACGAAGAAGAAAGGGACAUCAGUGAGUGGAGCGGGGGGAGGAAAAACAAGAGUAAACUUGUUAGUUAUCAUGGCGUUUUAGUUUAGAUAACAGUUAUAUUUAGAUUAUAAACUAUCUACCGUCGUGUUUCGAACGAGCUUUAGUUACGAUUUAGAUGCCUUUUCUUGUCCUUUCUCGGAACAAACAGACAUUUCUUUUCUUUCGGAAUGCUGUCAGCGACCAUGUUGGCCAGAACAGCCCUGAGCAGAGGCGUUACUGCCCAGCACCUGUGUAAAAACGUAACUCUGUAUAUGAAUGAACUGACGGCUACCGGUUCGGAAAGUCCGAGUCAGACCUCCAAACCACUGAUGCUGAUGCUGCCGUGGUUAGGUUCACGUCCACAAGCUGUGGCCAAGUAUUGUGAGAUCUACUUUCGCACCGGCUUCGACGUCCUUGUGGUGGAGAGUGAGGUAAAGGAUUUCCUGUGGCCUCGAU